ensembl:lncRNA
CUUUUGUAGUCACAGGGUUGCAUUGAAGGUCAUGCAUUGGUUUAUGCCUGUAUGGUAACUGUUCAGUCACGGCCUGAACCACUGAUCAUGUGGGGAAAGGACCCAGUCAGCCCUGGGAGCACAGGUGAAGGCCAUUCAGUUGUGUGACCAGAAGGGGUGGAGCCUGGCUUCACCUCUCAGACCUCAUUUAAGAGCUGACUGCCACUUGGGGAGGAUCUCUUGCUGGAGAUCCCUCCUUGAUGAAGCUUUUCCCCUGUGAACCUGGAAUCUUCUGAUACGGGCUAUAUUGAAAUGUUUGUCUUUAAAAAGAAAUGAAGUACAUUCAGCCCACUUGGGUAGAAGACUACUCAAUUUCUGCUAGAAAAGAAACAUUUCUGCAUGAAAAGUUCACCCUUCACCCAUUUGCAUGAGCUGUAUGAGCUAUAGGAACUGCCUCUGCCUGGAUAGCUAGGACAGUGGAAAGAGAAUUCAGCAUUUAAGUCUUGCAGCAUGGAGCAUGAUCACAAAGGCUGAUUCUGCUGCCAGGAUUUCUACAAAGAAGGAAGAGCAAGAUGCUGUUGAGAAACCUAAAGAAAUGUGAUUUUUGGAUCUCUUUCCAAAAAGGCAGCAGGAACCUCUGUGUAACGUGGACUGUUUUACUGACAAGGGGAGAUCUGGUGUAUUUUGGGGUGCGAGGAAUGGUUUUCCCUUCUUGAAGGAGUAAAAGUGGCAGUGGUUAUCGAACUUAUUAUGCUGAAGCUCUACUUCUGAAAGGGGCUGCAUGGCAGUGCAGCGGGCUGUGAAAGUGCAGGUUGAGGAGAAGGUGUUCCAGAACGCUCUGGGCUCAGAUCCUGGGGUCUGCAAUGAGUAGCUGCAGCGCCAUGGCCUUGGAUGGGCCGUAGGCACAAACACUGCAUCCAUGCGGUGGUAGAUGAUGACAGUGGCUCAACGUGUGCUGGUGUCUUGUGGUUGCACAGCUCCCAGACUGUGGGUUUUUUUCUGCGAAGCAGUGUUUUUGCACACAAGGAAGGGGCCAUUUAAGAGUAGGGGAGAGAAUCCUUCUCUCCGUCUCGCCUUCUCACCUUUCCUAUUUCUCUUGUUCAUUAAUUCCUUGUAUUGUACUUCUCUGUACACAGUGAAACAGAACUGACUUUUCCUUUUGUUUCUAGCUGGCUUAUCUCUGCUUCUCAUGAAUUAGCACAAUACUGCAAUAUCUGUACUAUCAGUUCUGUUCUGCUUUCAAAAAAAAAAGAGCAGUAACAGACUUAAAAAAAAAAAUUACAGAAAACUGUCUGAGAGAGCACAUUUUUACUGGAGUGCUCUUCAUCACAGGUAUAGGUUAAGUGGAAAACAGAGAUGAAAAAGUGUUUUAAGUAUUUCUCAAAUCAAAAAUUUAGUUUCUCUAUUUUUAAUUGGUACUUCAGCAAAACUUUGCCAACAGCCUUAGCACCAGAUUUCCAAUUCCUUUUUCCAGUAACACCUUUACCAUGGAGCCUCAUUUAGCUCCAACUGUCGUUAUGGAGCAAUAUGAAUUUCAGACUUCCAGUGUUUGCUUUUAAAACCCAUUGCUGCUAACACAGAUGGCACCCACGUGACAUAAUAAUUUUAUAUACAGUUUAAUAAACAGAGGAC